rnacentral:rRNA from 1 species
GCUACCACAUCCAAGGAAGGCAGCAGGCGCGCAAAUUACCCAAUCCCGAUACGGGGAGGUAGUGACAAUAAAUACUGAUACGGGGCUCUUUUGGGUCUCGUAAUUGGAAUGAGAACAAUUUAAAUCCCUUAACGAGGAACAAUUGGAGGGCAAGUCUGGUGCCAGCAGCCGCGGUAAUUCCAGCUCCAAUAGCGUAUAUUAAAGUUGUUGCAGUUAAAAAGCUCGUAGUUGAACCUUGGCUCUGGCUGGCCGGUCCGCCUCACCGCGAGUACUGGUCCGGCUGGAGCUUUCCUUCUGGGGAACCUCAUGGCCUUCACUGGCUGUGGGGGGAACCAGGACUUUUACUGUGAAAAAAUUAGAGUGUUCAAAGCAGGCCUUUGCUCGAAUACAUUAGCAUGGAAUAAUAGAAUAGGACGUGCGGUUCUAUUUUGUUGGUUUCUAGGACCGCCGUAAUGAUUAAUAGGGAUAGUCGGGGGCGUCAGUAUUCAGCUGUCAGAGGUGAAAUUCUUGGAUUUGCUGAAGACUAACUACUGCGAAAGCAUUCGCCAAGGAUGUUUUCAUUAAUCAGGGAACGAAAGUUAGGGGAUCGAAGA